rfam:Triticum aestivum genome assembly, contig: Triticum_aestivum_CS42_TGACv1_scaffold_342478_4DL
ACGGUACUCCCUUUGUCCCAAAUUACUCGUCGCUGAAAUAGAUGUAUCUAAAACUAAAAUACAUCUAGAUACAUCCAUACGUAUGACAAGUAAUUCGGAACGAAGGGAGUACAAC